UACAGAGGGGGCAAGCGUUGUUCGGAAUUACUGGGCGUAAAGGGCGCGUAGGCGGCCUUCUAAGUCGAACGUGAAAUCCCCGGGCUCAACCCGGGAACUGCGUCCGAUACUGGAAGGCUUGAAUCCGGGAGAGGGAUGUGGAAUUCCAGGUGUAGCGGUGAAAUGCGUAGAUAUCUGGAGGAACACCGGUGGCGAAGGCGGCAUCCUGGACCAAUAUUGACGCUGAGGAGCGAAAGCGUGGGGAGCGAACAGG
rnacentral:rRNA from 1 species